rnacentral:lncRNA from 1 species
AUGUGUCACUUAAAGAUUUUUCUACUCUCACUUCCUUCUUACCUGUCCAACUACCAUCACCAUUGGAAGUCUGCCUAUCCAACUACCAUCACCGGUGGAAAUCUACCUACUCAACCACCGUCGCCGCUGGAAAUCUACCUACUCAACCACCGUCGCCACUGGAAAUCUACCUAUUCAACCACCGUCGCCGCUGGAAAUCUACCUACCCAGCUACCGUCGCCGCUGGAAGGAGGCAUGGGGCAGAUACACACAAGGGAAAGAGUUGGGAAUGGGAGAGAUUUGUUAAUGCUGCUUGGAAGACAGUUUGAGAAAAUUUGAGGCACAUGCUCUUCAAGGUCCCUUUCGGCCUCUCUGGAAAAAGAGUGAGAAGCUUUCCUCUGCGAAGGGCUUUCCACUUGAGAACAGAUAUAGGAAUGGGGCGAAGCUGCAGAAAUUUUAUAAAACAGCUUGUUACAUCACCAAUAGCAUGUCAUUUGUCUCAAAGCAUUUUCUUCCCUGUGCUAGUCUGUUAGAGCCAAAUGGUCAUCCUGUCGGUUUACUGCUCGUCUGAAACACAAGGACGCUGGAGCACAAGGCAAACUGGCCCAAGUCAUGCAACUAAUUUCGGAGAAAGGAAGGUAAACUGCCUGACCGGCCACCACAGGCUGGCUCUGCCAGCCCGCAAGGCGCAUCCGAGAGCACAAGUGGACAUGCGCUGGUUUACCGACUCCUGGAAGCCUGAAACCGGGCGUGACACUCAAAGGUGAGAAGGGCUGGCCUCAGGACCAAGGACAGGACGCUCUGUCCCAGGGAAUUGGGAGGCCAACCUGAGACACUCAAUCCCCUCCAUCAAGUAACUGACUGAAGCUGAGAUGUAUUCAAGACACGUCUGCCCUCAGUGCCCGUGUCAGAGAGACACUGCCGGGCUCACUCAGACUCGCCUGGAUCCAGUGUGCAGUGAGUAAGUCUCUUUUUCUUAAAGCAGUUUACAAGUGCUGGACUGCAAGAAGCUCACCCAAAGCUUACCACACUCCAACACGGGAUUUUUCUCUUCCAAUCUUGAUCCACACAGAUGCAUGGUAUUUAUAUAGCUCACAUCACAGUUCAUAGCCAAAGUUCUUUUCCAAUUCUUUUGGGUAAGGUAACUCAUGAUUGACUUUGAGAUUCUAUAUAAUUAUAUUAUCAAUCCUAAU